rnacentral:rRNA from 1 species
GGAGGGGUGCAAACGUUGCUCGGAAUUACUGGGCGUAAAGCGCAUGCAGGCGGUUUGUUAAGUUUCGUGUGAAAGCCCUGGGGCCUAACCCAGGAAGUGCACGGAAAACUGGCAGACUAGAGUACUGGAGAAGUGGGCGGAAUUCCGGGUGUAGAGGUGAAAUUCGUAGAUAUCCGGAGGAACACCAGCAGCGAAAGCGGUUCACUUGACAGAUACUGACGCUCAGAUGCGAAAGCGUGGGGAGCAAACAGAAUUAGAUACCCUGGUAGUCCACGCCGUAAACGAUGAGCACUAGGUGUCGGGGGCUUGACCCCUUCGGCGCCAAAGCUAACGCAUUAAGUGCUCCGCCUGGGGAGUACGGUCGCAAGACUA